CCUACGGGCGGCUGCAGUGGGGAAUAUUGGACAAUGGGGGGAACCCUGAUCCAGCCAUGCCGCGUGUGUGAAGAAGGCCCUCGGGUUGUAAAGCACUUUCAGUGAGGAAGAACGCCUGGUGGUUAAUACCCAUCAGGAAAGACAUCACUCACAGAAGAAGCACUGGCUAACUCCGUGCCAGCAGCCGCGGUAAUACGGAGGGUGCGAGCGUUAAUCGGAAUUACUGGGCGUAAAGCGCGCGUAGGUGGCUUGAUAAGCCGGUUGUGAAAGCCCCGGGCUCAACCUGGGAACGGCAUCCGGAACUGUCAAGCUAGAGUGCAGGAGAGGAAGGUAGAAUUCCCGGUGUAGCGGUGAAAUGCGUAGAGAUCGGGAGGAAUACCAGUGGCGAAGGCGGCCUUCUGGACUGACACUGACACUGAGGUGCGAAAGCGUGGGUAGCAAACAGGAUUAGAUACCCUGGUAGUC
rnacentral:rRNA from 1 species